GCUGGCUUUGGGACCUGUUUUGAUGUUAAAGCAUAACUCUCCCCAAAAUGCAACCUAGGGUCUUUUUGUGAAUGUACCCGAGUCAAACUUUCGUUUAAAAGCAUAUUUAGGACGGAAGCGUCACUUUUAAGAUUUACCGUAUCUUCGUUUUUCGGUCAAAUGACC